rnacentral:rRNA from 1 species
AUACGUAGGGGGCGAGCGUUGUCCGGAAUUACUGGGCGUAAAGGAUGCGUAGGUGGAUAUUUAAGUGGGAUGUGAAAUCCCCGGGCUCAACCCGGGAACUGCAUUCCAAACUGGGUAUCUAGAGUGCAGGAGAGGAAAGCGGAAUUCCUAGUGUAGCGGUGAAAUGCGUAGAGAUUAGGAGGAACACCAGUGGCGAAGGCGGCUUUCUGGACUGUAACUGACACUGAGGCAUGAAAGCUUGGUUAGCAAACAGGAUAAGAUACCCUGGUAGUCCACGCCGUAAACGAUGGGUACUAGGUGUAGGAGGUAUCGACCCCUUCUGUGCCGUCGUUAACACAAUAAGUACCCCGCCUGGGGAGUACGGUCGCAAGACUAAAACUCAAAUGAAUUGACGGGG